rnacentral:rRNA from 1 species
GAUGAACGCUGGCGGCGUGCCUAAUACAUGCAAGUCGAGCGAACGGACGAGAAGCUUGCUUCUCUGAUGUUAGCGGCGGACGGGUGAGUAACACGUGGAUAACCUACCUAUAAGACUGGGAUAACUUCGGGAAACCCUAGCUAAUACCGGAUAAUAUUUUGAACCGCAUGGUUCAAAAGUGAAAGACGGUCUUGCUGUCACUUAUAGAUGGAUCCGCGCUGCAUUAGCUAGUUGGUAAGGUAACGGCUUACCAAGGCAACGAUGCAUAGCCGACCUGAGAGGGUGAUCGGCCACACUGGAACUGAGACACGGUCCAGACUCCUACGGGAGGCAGCAGUAGGGAAUCUUCCGCAAUGGGCGAAAGCCUGACGGAGCAACGCCGCGUGAGUGAUGAAGGUCUUCGGAUCGUAAAACUCUGUUAUUAGGGAAGAACAUAUGUGUAAGUAACUGUGCACAUCUUGACGGUACCUAAUCAGAAAGCCACGGCUAACUACGUG